CGUCACACUACCCUGUGUGGGAUUCACUUUCGUCAUCGUGGAACACGUCGCGGAUCGGUACACGCACACGGCGUGGUUACCGCACAACACACCGCGGCUGCGACGGUUAACGGACUAAAGAGGUGGACGCGCAACGACGCGAAAACUGAUACGCUAUCGCGACACGAUCUCGGUUCUCGCAACACCACGCGACGCGACCGGAGUAUUCAGGGAGAACACAGAAAUCGGAAGAGAACGCGAUCGAACGCGAGAGAAAGAUGUAGAAUAAUUAGGUACAGACGGAGUGAAACCGAGAGAGAGCGCGAACAAGGAAGUAGAAUGGCAGGAGAGGUAAAACGUAAACACGACACAGAAAAGGAUCCAUAGCGGGGUUCUAUCCUCUAUGUAAACGCUCCUUCAAGUAUUUCGCGACGGUGGAGUCCUCGUUGUCUCGUAAAACAACACAACGUAUCCGCGCGAGGAAAGUGCACCUGCGCGGUCCUGCGUCGUUUUCUCGGUCGCGGCCCGUUUGUCCCUGUGGUGCCACCUCUCUACCCCUCCCAGCCUACUAACCCUCUCCCCCCCAUGGUUCCUCCUCGAGUGCGCCUAACCCUCUCCUCCUCUUUUUACGUUCCAACUUGCCGCUCAUCGACUGGAGGGGACUAAGAGGCACCUUCUGCCUCCUCUUUCUCGCACCGUUCCCCUCCCUCGUUCUGCGGCAACAUCCACGUCCCUGUAACACCACCCACUCAUCCAACACCCGACGUGUACCGUCGAGAGUCGAUUACCGUCGACAGAGAACCGGGGACGGACCCUUCCACUCGAUACAAGUGGCCGAGAGACAGACACACCAAUAUGGCCGACUAAAUUCAACCGGUCGUGGCACACAGCCGGGAGAUUAUGAUGAUACUCGGAGAUGUCUCGCAUUGUCAAAUUACAUAAGCCACAGUGGUAGCAAAGAAAACCAGCGAUUUUUCACUCGUCACAAUUCCGGUAACUUUGGAUCUAUCAUAAAGCCAGGUAUUGUUUGCGCGAGAGUGAAGCAAACUCUGCUUUUGGCUCGGCGACAAGCUCGUCGUGCGCAGUUGGCUUGGUUCAAUAUAAAAAGAAUUCACGGGGACGAGUGGAUUUGGUUGGGAUCAUUAAUAGGAAUCGUUCGAGUUCAAAAUUAACAACGAUAACUUGUUGGAAAUAAGCUAACGAUAAAACAGAAGGAUUAAGUUAAAACCGCGUGACUGCGCAGUUCGUUUCGUCCGAACGAGCAAGCGUUUUAAUUAAAUUGUAAUGGAAGAGCCGAUUGCUAUAGACCGUAACCUCAAAGGACUGUUUGAUUGUCAAUUAAUCGCAGAAGACAUCCCGGGCAGAACUUCGCAAACAACAACGGAAUUAUUCCCAGGGGUUGGAGAGAAAAGAAUCUAAAAAAAAAAAAAAAAGAAAAAUAAUACCGUGAAACAUCGAAACCGCAUUCUACGAAAGCCGCGUCGCCCUGUCUGACCACGAAUCGAACUUUUCUACUUUGAAACCGAGCGAGGCGGCGGAGAUGCACGAAUGAGCACGAGGGAAGCCGAAGCAACACGUGGCCCCGGGAACACACGAGCGACUACUGUUCGUACUAUACAUACAGCCGAUUAUUCUAGCUAUGAAAGUCCGGAACUGUUACGAGCUCUUCACGACUCAAUGUCACGGUUUCAGCACGCGCGAUAAACGCGUCCAAGUGUGACAGAAUCGACGAGAAAACAGAGAGAAAAAGGGAGUGGGGAAAACGGAAUAAAGAAAGGAAUGCGAAUGAAUAACGAUUACAACGCAGUUGGUUCAUUUGGAGAAGCAAGCACAGCUGGUGGUGGAGGUAAAGUUGGAACCAAUCGGAUUACGCCGUCGAUGAUGUCCAAUCAGAAGCGGCAAUUUUAAAGGACUUGAAAUUUCCCGAACAAUUUAAACGACCCAUAUGUGUAUUCUGAACAUUGAUGUGGGCGAUGUUUAAAACAAUUGUAAUAAUUUAACACGUUUGUCCGAAAAUAUAUUAACAUUGUCAGAAAUGCAA